rnacentral:rRNA from 1 species
AUGGAUUAUGCAACAAGAGAAAGAUUGGUGGAACUUUUGGUGUCAUCCUUAAGUGAGUUGAGCAAAUGCACCCUUCGAUAUCUUAGCAUUGUUGGAGACCUGUGCAAUCGUCUAUUCUGGGACCCAUGCUGCACCUAUCCAUACCUCCACGAUCUUACAAUUGGGCCAGCUAUUAAAACAGUUACCAAGGGAAUGGCCUCCCUCAAAAAUCUUGUGAAACUAUGCAUAGCGGUCGAGGAAUUUGAUAAGGAGGGUCUCCAUCUCCUUAUGGGCAUGCCUUUUCUAGCCCAUCUUGAGCUAGCGAUACGAAUAUCGAUCAAAGAAAAGCUGAACAUCGGUACUAAUGGAUUCAAGCUACUAAAGGUGUUCCACUUCACAUACAUGACAGCCAGGUGGUAUUCCAAAGUGGAGGCAAUAGAUGGACUGCAGAUGACAUUCGCAACAGGUGCCAUGCCAGCACUCCGACAGUUCCAUCUUGAACUGAACCCAAUGGAGGUGACAUCCAAUUUUUUUGCAGACUUGGGUAACGAGCAUUUUCUAGGCCUUGCACACUUCCAGGUCGAAAUUGAGUGUAACGGAGUAGCUCCAGGCUGGGUGGAGGCUCUAGAGUCUUCCAUUGGAAAAGCAACUGACUUGCACCCUAACAACGAAAUGGAAAUCCAUCUCAGCAAACUCCAUGAAGAAGGCAUGUUU